CUAUCUACAGCAGUACACUAAAGUUUGUAACCUGACUCGGCAAAACAACUGCUGCAACGGUAAAAAAUUUGGUUGCAGCUGCCGCCUAAGACACAUUAAAAAAACAAGACAAAUGUUAAUCAUAUCCUUAAAACAUUGAUUAAGAAAUUAAAAAGAGAAAACAUUAAGUAUUUUCUUCUUUAAUUUCUUAACCAAUAUCUAAAACACUGAUUAACAAGAAAAAAACAAACAAAAGCAACCUAAAACACACCAAAUCUAAACUAAACCCGUUAACCACUGAUUAUUCAUGAGUCAGAUAAAGCUGCCCAAUCAAUCUCCACGGAAGGGUACUUCUCCAAGUCCAACCCAAGAUUGU
rnacentral:lncRNA from 1 species